GGUUGGAAAAGGCAUCUCCUUCUGGGCAGCAUGGUUGAGCAGGCUGUCUAUCAAAGGCUAUUGCUUCUUGUGCUUCAAUGGUCGUAUCAACAACUUUUUUAAACGUGAAGAAGAUGCAUGUAUGUUUCCAAAGUUUUAGGUUUCUAGAGGUAGGAACUGGAACUACUGAUGGUGCACUACAUUAAGAGUUGAAGGUGAAGAACAACAACAAGGUGGAGGGGAGAAAGUUGUAAUUAACAGCUUGGGAUUUGGAAAUGCUAUCCACUUCUUAUAUACAAAAAGGGCUACGUUUACAAAUCCUCUAGGCUGUUGGAAGCCACCACCGAACGCCGCCUCAAGUCAUCCCUCUCCCGAUGCCUCUUGC